UGGGGAAUCUUGCACAAUGGGGGAAACCCUGAUGCAGCGACGCCGCGUGAACGAUGAAGCCCUUCGGGGUGUAAAGUUCUUUCGACAGGAACGAUAAUGACGGUACCUGGAGAAGAAGCUGCGGCUAACUACGUGCCAGCAGCCGCGGUAAUACGUAGGCAGCGAGCGUUGUUCGGAGUUACUGGGCGUAAAGAGUGCGUAGGCGGCGAGCCAAGUUUGGUGUGAAAUCUCCCGGCUUAACCGGGAGGGUGCGCCGAAAACUGGUUGGCUGGAGUAUGGGAGAGGAAAGCGGAAUUCCUGGUGUAGCGGUGAAAUGCGUAGAUAUCAGGAGGAACACCUGCGGUGUAGACAGCUUUCUGGACCAAAACUGACGCUGAGGCAUGAAAGCGUGGGGAGCAAACA
rnacentral:rRNA from 1 species